UACGAAGGGGGCUAGCGUUGCUCGGAUUGACUGGGCGUAAAGGGCGCGUAGGCGGUUCGUACAGUCAGACGUGAAAUUCCUGGGCUCAACCUGGGGGCUGCGUUUGAUACGUGCGGACUUGAGUGCGGAAGAGGGUCGUGGAAUUCCCAGUGUAGAGGUGAAAUGCGUAGAUAUCGUAAGGAAGACCAGUGGCGAAGGCGGGUCUCUGGACAGUUCCUGACGCUGAGGCACGAAGGUCAGGGGAGCAAACGGG
rnacentral:rRNA from 1 species